ACCACGAGGCGCUGUCUACG
rnacentral:siRNA from 1 species